CAAAUUCUGCCUACUUUACAAUUCAUCCUCCUCUUCUACACGUUUGGAGCUGCUAGUGAAGCAGGGUUGAUCAUGAUUGUCGUUUUACCAGUGUUACUGAUGAUGAUGACAAAUGACAGAUGGAUUUAUAAAUGCUAUUCCAGUCAGGGGCUCAACUUAUCAUAUUCAGUCAUGAGGACAGUGAUGUUAAUCUUCACAUUAGUGACGAAUGCAGUGAUGAUCGGCCUUUACAUAUUGACUCUGGACAAUCAGACAGAUCCGAUCGGAUGGGGCUGUGUGAUGGUGUUUCUGCAGAUACUCUGGACAGUUAUGUUCUUCACAGAUGAUACUUACUCUUUUCUCAGCUUGUCUCGAGAUUUCCAGCGUUAUGUUGCGGUGUAUGUGUUUGGAUCAGUCGGUGUAGUUUUACUGAACUCUGCUGCAUUAAUAACAGAACUGAUCCUCAAAACAGGUGAGUGAACAACACUCUUUAAUAUACAGG
rnacentral:lncRNA from 1 species